rnacentral:rRNA from 1 species
UACGUAGGGUGCGAGCGUUAAUCGGAAUUACUGGGCGUAAAGCGUGCGCAGGCGGUGAUGUAAGACAGGCGUGAAAUCCCCGGGCUUAACCUGGGAACUGCAUUUGUGACUGCAUCGCUGGAGUGCGGCAGAGGGGGAUGGAAUUCCGCGUGUAGCAGUGAAAUGCGUAGAUAUGCGGAGGAACACCGAUGGCGAAGGCAAUCCCCUGGGCCUGCACUGACGCUCAUGCACGAAAGCGUGGGGAGCAAACAGG